rnacentral:lncRNA from 10 species
UCCUCAAGAAGGAACCUCUGCCUGGCCUUCAGCAGGGCCACUGUCAUGUGCGAUAUUCACUUAGAGCCUUAUCACAUUUGUGGCUGUAGAGGUGUUUGCGUGCCUUGUUUAAUUUAUCCCACUAGACUGCCUUUCGAACGGAGCCCGGGGAGGACAGGCUGGCAGAGGAGGGAGGAGGGUUUCUAGCUGAGAGAGACUGCGGCUGUGGGCCUGCAGCCUACCCCUCUUCAAGCUCUCCGGAGCCGUUCCUGCGAAACCAGCCCCCACAAGUGGCUGAUGCUCCUGUCCCUCUUCUGGCCUGAUUGCUCCCUCUCCUGACCCCUAAGGAUGAAGAUCAAAGUCUCUACAUGGCAUGGAAGGACCCUAACCACCUUGCAUGAACCUGCAAAGGAUUUGAUGCUAGUGACAUCUGAUGAGCUCUAGGGCCAUGGGUAAAUCCCUGAAUCACAGGGAGCACCAUCUGUAAAGCAGUGAUAAUGAUACAUUUUUUCAUUUGUAAAGUGAUGAUUUAAAAAAAUAUCCUACCUCAUGGUAUCUUCAUGAAAAUGAAACAAGAUAAUGAAUGAAAAACACACUUGUUUGUCCAGUGCUUGGUAUAUAGUAGGCAUUUAAUUAUAUGUGCGUGAGUGUGCAUGUGUGUGUUUCAUGAAUUACCGCUCCCCAUCUUGCAUCACCAAAUACGUCUCAUA